GUUUCGGAGCCUUCCUGUCCCCGUAUUAGACAAGACGGAAUCAGGGGAAUCUUCCCGAGCCAGGAGGUGAUNUUUCGGAGCCUUCCUGUCCCCGUAUUAGACAAGACGGAAUCAGGGGAAUCUUCCCGAGCCAGGAGGUGAUACUGUGCGGUAACGUGAAUGAAGUCAUUGACGCAGGCUGAUGCACCGGGAAACGUUCUCUUUGCCUCUUUAUAGCCUCUUCACAAGCGGACGAUGGAAUCAGAUUAUCGUGAGAUAGGGUUGACCGGUUGGUAAAACUUCCUGGCUUCAAAGGAGUCCCAUACGGUUCAGACUGCCCUUCAGAAGAGACGGGAAGGUUCUUAUUGGCACCUAUGGCUGUA
rnacentral:ncRNA from 1 species